UACGUAGGGUGCAAGCGUUAAUCGGAAUUACUGGGCGUAAAGCGUGCGCAGGCGGUUGUGCAAGACAGAUGUGAAAUCCCCGGGCUCAACCUGGGAAUUGCAUUUGUGACUGCACGGCUAGAGUGUGUCAGAGGGGGGUAGAAUUCCACGUGUAGCAGUGAAAUGCGUAGAGAUGUGGAGGAAUACCGAUGGCGAAGGCAGCCCCCUGGGAUAACACUGACGCUCAUGCACGAAAGCGUCGGGAGCAAACAGG
rnacentral:rRNA from 1 species